UACGUAGGGUGCAAGCGUUAAUCGGAAUUACUGGGCGUAAAGCGUGCGCAGGCGGUUUUGCAAGACAGAUGUGAAAUCCCCGGGCUCAACCUGGGAACUGCAUUUGUGACUGCAAGGCUAGAAUCUGGCAGAGGGGGGUAGAAUUCCACGUGUAGCAGUGAAAUGCGUAGAUAUGUGGAGGAAUACCGAUGGCGAAGGCAGCCCCCCUGGGCUAAGAUUGACGCUCAUGCACGAAAGCGUGGGGGAGCAAACAGG
rnacentral:rRNA from 1 species